GUGGUUUUUGGUUCUUGUUUACAAGUCUCAUCUUUACCUCCAUACUUAUUAAUGUCUCAUCAGCAGCCAAUUCUUUUUUUGUGGACGAAUCUGUCUUUUCUUCCCCACCCCCCACCAUGGUAACAUAAUUCUGAACUUCUCAUGAAUUAGUAGCUAAAUAAAAAAUAUAUAUGCAUCUUAAUCCUGCAUUUAUGGAGCGAUUCAUAUUUGCUUUAUUGCGAAAAUUGGUUGGGAAGCAGCUGCACCUGGACACGCACACUCUCAUAACAAUGAAGAGUCACGCCACGGAUAAUGAUCACAUCACAUAUAUGUACAGACAUACAUAUUUAAAUAUAGCAAUAUAUUAUUUAUAUAAUGCACCUGUAUUGCAUGUUGAAUAAUUUGUUAAUAAAACAGAUUUGCAAAGCUACAAAGGGGAAUGGGGUGUGCCUCUCGGCUACAAACAUUAUUAACCACAACGUUAUACAUUUUUCAUAACAUAGAUUUAUUUUAAUAUAUUAUAUACAGCACAGUUACACGAGUAUAAUAUUGCGCAAUUCAAUGAUGUUUCGUAAAAACAAUGUGCAUGAUUAUUUAUCAUCAUCUUUAUUAUUACCACCAGCCACUCUAUUGAUUGUCAUCUUGAAAUCCAAGCUGACAUCUCCAUGGCAGUAUGAAGUGAUUAUUAUAAAGUAAGGUUCCCGCUUAGCAAGAGAGGACAAAGGUUUUCAGUCCGUGAACUCCGCGGACAGUGACAAUUCCAUCAAGGGAAACGUGGAAAAAAAAACGUUCUCACUGGCCGUCGGUAUGAACGUAAAGUUACAACUUUUAAACGCAACGCAAAUAAAAGGAACAUUAUUCUCCAAAAGUAUAUGUUUUUUUUAUGGACAAAACUAUUCAGGUACACGAGCACAGAGGAAUAUGAAAGGGGGUUGACGCCGGCACAAAUCCACACAUUACGGAUUACGGUGCAAUGGCAGACCUGUCUUACACCGCAUGUUUCAAUAAACUCUACAACCCUUUGUGUCUUCCUAAGCGCUGACACCCCUGUAGUAGAAGAAGAGAAAAAGGGAGGUGGGAGGGUAGUGCCUAAAUGCCCAAAUGUAAACGCACGCAUUUAUUGCUGCCGUUGUUCAACUCACAAAAAUGGAUACGAAACUCGUAAUUUUUUGUUCUCUCGCUGAUCCCACGUUUACCUUAACCGAGUAACCAAUGAAUCUCAAAGGUGCAGCUGACGUUUCACGGCGAGCUUUAGAUCUCAUCGGAUCCCUCCAGGAUUUAAUAAAUAUUCGGAUGAUAUCGACUUGCAUCCACCUCUCCACCCCCGCUCCAUCACACGCGCUCCGAGUGGUUUCUUCCGAGAGCUCUGUCCGUCGUUCUGUCAUCCCCCCCCCUUCCUCCUCCUCUCCCCCCACCACCAAAUACCACGCGCUGCGAAGCCUCUUCGCCAUAAGCGCGGCGCUGUGAGACCUCGAUGAGCGAGCGAGCGAGUAAGCUAGCAGGUAAGCUCGCCGGCUAGCUACCGGUGGCUGUCGGUGGGUGGCCACACCGGCGGCUGUCGAACGUCGCUGCGCCCGGCUUGACGGAGCAGCUUGUGGAGAGCGUUGGUCUUCAAUGCGCCAAAGUUGGUAACAGCGGUUUCAACGACAGCUGAGGAGUAGAUUUGCCUCCCUCACUGACAAGUCCAUCUCUCCACCAGCGCUCGCUCUCGCAAGGAAGACUUUCAACUCUCGGGGUGUGUUAUUUUUUAUUUAUUUUAUUCUUUCACGGAUACUUUGUGGGAAGAGAGUCGAUAUGGACGCUCUGUACAUUUGACCGUGAAACGAGCGCCGUUUGUGUUGAGCUUCGUUUGCACAACCGCAUCGAGAAAGACGCCGUACAACAGCAAUAGAAGAUUCUCUCUCUCGAGAGAGAGGAAGAGAGAGGAAGAGAGGGGAAGAGAGGAGUGUCAUGCAAGGAGAGAUGGGAAAAUGAAACACGACCAAGACUCCCAACAGGUUUCGCUAAUCGCCUGACCCCCCCCCCCCCGCCCCCCCCCCCCCCCCCGAUCGUCACUUCUGAACGCUGCACGUGGAGAGGAAUCGCAGCGCGCGUGACGGUGACACGUAACACUAGGGACUGCGAAAGCGGGUGACAGGGAGCGUGCGGCGACGUGACUUGGCAGUAGCAGCAGUGGCAGCAGCAGCAGCAGCAGUGGCAACAGCAGCAGCGGCGGCGGCAGCAGAAGCAGCAG